CCUACGGGAGGCAGCAGUGAGGAAUAUUGGUCAAUGGACGAGAGUCUGAACCAGCCAAGUAGCGUGAAGGAUGACUGCCCUAUGGGUUGUAAACUUCUUUUAUAUGGGAAUAAAACGUUCCAUGCAUGGGCUCUUGUAUGUACCAUAUGAAUAAGGAUCGGCUAACUCCGUGCCAGCAGCCGCGGUAAUACGGAGGAUCCGAGCGUUAUCCGGAUUUAUUGGGUUUAAAGGGAGCGUAGGUGGAUUGUUAAGUCAGUUGUGAAAGUUUGCGGCUCAACCGUAAAAUUGCAGUUGAAACUGGCAGUCUUGAGUACAGUAGAGGUGGGCGGAAUUCGUGGUGUAGCGGUGAAAUGCUUAGAUAUCACGAAGAACUCCGAUUGCGAAGGCAGCUUACUAGACUGCCACUGACAUUGAUGCUCGAAAGUGUGGGUAUCAAACAGGAUUAGAUACCCUAGUAGUC
rnacentral:rRNA from 1 species